CCUACGGGAGGCAGCAGUAGGGAAUAUUGCUCAAUGGGGGAAACCCUGAAGCAGCAACGCCGCGUGGAGGAUGAAGGUUUUAGGAUUGUAAACUCCUUUUGUUAGAGAAGAUUAUGACGGUAUCUAACGAAUAAGCACCGGCUAACUCCGUGCCAGCAGCCGCGGUAAUACGGAGGGUGCAAGCGUUACUCGGAAUCACUGGGCGUAAAGAGUGCGUAGGCGGGGUAAUAAGUCAGAUGUGAAAUCCCGAGGCUCAACUUCGGAAUUGCCUCUGAAACUGUUAUUCUAGAGUAUGGGAGAGGUAGGUGGAAUUCUUGGUGUAGGGGUAAAAUCCGUAGAGAUCAAGAGGAAUACUCAUUGCGAAGGCGACCUGCUAGAACAUAACUGACGCUGAUGCGCGAAAGCGUGGGGAGCAAACAGGAUUAGAUACCCCUGUAGUC
rnacentral:rRNA from 1 species